rnacentral:rRNA from 1 species
CAGCCGCCACGGUAAUACGUAGGUGGCAAGCGUUGUCCGGAAUUAUUGGGCGUAAAGGGCUCGCAGGCGGUUUCUUAAGUCUGAUGUGAAAGCCCCCGGCUCAACCGGGGAGGGUCAUUGGAAACUGGGAAACUCGAGUGCAGAAGAGGAGAGUGGAAUUCCACGUGUAGCGGUGAAAUGCGUAGAGAUGUGGAGGAACACCAGUGGCGAAGGCGACUCUCUGGUCUGUAACUGACGCUGAGGAGCGAAAGCGUGGGGAGCGAACAGGAUUAGAUACCCCAGUAGUCCCUGUCUCUUAUAC